rnacentral:rRNA from 1 species
GGCCUACACAUGCAAGUCGAGCGGAAACGAUGGAAGCUUGCUUCCAGGCGUCGAGCGGCGGACGGGUGAGUAAUGCAUGGGAAUCUGCCCGAUAGUGGGGGAUAACCUGGGGAAACCCAGGCUAAUACCGCAUACGUCCUACGGGAGAAAGCAGGGGAUCUUCGGACCUUGCGCUAUCGGAUGAGCCCAUGUCGGAUUAGCUUGUUGGUGGGGUAAUGGCCUACCAAGGCGACGAUCCGUAGCUGGUCUGAGAGGAUGAUCAGCCACAUCGGGACUGAGACACGGCCCGAACUCCUACGGGAGGCAGCAGUGGGGAAUAUUGGACAAUGGGCGAAAGCCUGAUCCAGCCAUGCCGCGUGUGUGAAGAAGGCCUUCGGGUUGUAAAGCACUUUCAGUGAGGAAGAACGCCUCUGGCCCAAUACGCCAGAGGGAAGACAUCACUCACAGAAGAAGCACCGGCUAACUCCGUGCCAGCAGCCGCGGUAAUACGGAGGGUGCGAGCGUUAAUCGGAAUUACUGGGCGUAAAGCGCGCGUAGGUGGCUUGAUAAGCCGGUUGUGAAAGCCCCGGGCUCAACCUGGGAAUGGCAUCCGGAACUGUCAGGCUAGAGUGCAGGAGAGGAAGGUAGAAUUCCCGGUGUAGCGGUGAAAUGCGUAGAGAUCGGGAGGAAUACCAGUGGCGAAGGCGGCCUUCUGGACUGACACUGACACUGAGGUGCGAAAGCGUGGGUAGCAAACAGGAUUAGAUACCCUGGUAGUCCACGCCGUAAACGAUGUCGACUAGCCGUUGGGCUCCUUGAGAGCUUUGUGGCGCAGUUAACGCGAUAAGUCGACCGCCUGGGGAGUACGGCCGCAAGGUUAAAACUCAAAUGAAUUGACGGGGGCCCGCACAAGCGGUGGAGCAUGUGGUUUAAUUCGAUGCAACGCGAAGAACCUUACCUACCCUUGACAUCGAGAGAACUUUCCAGAGAUGGAUUGGUGCCUUCGGGAACUCUCAAACAAGUGCUGCAUGGCUGUCGUCAGCUCGUGUUGGGAAAUGUUGGGUAAGUCCCGUAACGAGCGCACCCUUGUCCCUAUUUGCCAGCGAUUCGGUCGGGAA